rnacentral:rRNA from 1 species
AUUGAACGCUGGCGGCAGGCCUAACACAUGCAAGUCGAACGAGUCGCGGACGGGCGGCUAAUGUCUGUGAAACUGCCUGAUGGAGGGAGAUCACUACUGGAAAAGGUAGCUGAUAACGCAUUCCAUACACUCGGCCCAAAUGGGAUUAGCUAGUUGGUGGGGUAACGGCUCACAAGGACGACGCUCCCUAGCUGGUCUGAGAGGAUGACCCGACACACUGGAACUGAGACACGGUCCAGACUCCUACGGGAGGCAGCAGUGGGGAAGAUUGCACAAUGGGCGAAAGCCUGAUGCAGCCAUGCCGCGUGGAUGAAGAAGGUCUUCGGGUCGUAAAGUACUUUCAGCGGGGAGGCGUUACCCGCAGAAGAAGCACCGGCUAACUCCGUGCCAGCAGCCGCGGUAAUAC